rnacentral:rRNA from 1 species
AACGAACGCUGGCGGCAGGCUUAACACAUGCAAGUCGAGCGCCCCGCAAGGGGAGCGGCAGACGGGUGAGUAACGCGUGGGAAUCUACCCAUCUCUACGGAAUAACGCAUGGAAACGUGCGCUAAUACCGUAUACGUCCUUCGGGAGAAAGAUUUAUCGGAGAUGGAUGAGCCCGCGUUGGGUUAGCUAGUUGGUGGGGUAAAGGCCUACCAAGGCGACGAUCCAUAGCUGGACUGAGAGGAGGAUCAGCCACACUGGGACUGAGACACGGCCCAGACUCCUACGGGAGGCACCAGUGGGGAAUAUUGGACAAUGGGCGCAAGCCUGAUCCAGCCAUGCCGCGUGAGUGAUGAAGGCCCUAGGGUUGUAAAGCUCUUUCACCGGUGAAGAUAAUGACGGUAACCGGAGAAGAAGCCCCGGCUAACUUCGUGCCAGCAGCCGCCGUGAUAC